GAGCACUUGGAGUGCCAGAACAGCACAAUCCAUUGUAUCGAACCAUUGUCAACAGUGGUCUAGCUUUUUCAUAGGAUCUUCUGUCUGGCUUUCUGUCUCUCCCAAUGCACUCUUUGAUUUCUUGAGGGAUGAAGCUCGUCAAAGUGAGGAAAUGAAAGCUUAGAGAGAAAGGGUACUUGUUUUCUAGGGCACUUUUGUGGUCAUCACACGCAUGUCUGCUUUUCCUCAUCACCUUCCUUUGAAGUCCCCUUAUAAUCAGCAAAAACAAGUUGGUGGAACUGACCAAGUCAGCAAAAAGGUAUAUGAUAGAGGAAGCAUAUCAAAUGAUGAUGAAAAUGAAGAACAAGAAUGAUGAUGAAAAUAAAGAAGAAGCAUGAUAAUUAUUAUUUUGAACAUUUUUUAAUUUGUUAUGUAAAAGAUGUUUAUUUUUAAUUUUUAGGA